rnacentral:tRNA from 1 species
ACAUCCAUGGUUGAAUGGUUAAAGCACCCAACUCAUAAUUGGUGAACUCACGGGUUCAAUUAUUUCUGGAUGCA